UUCCGGUUGAUCCUGCCGGAGGCCACUGCUAUUGGGGUCCGAUUAAGCCAUGCGAGUCAUGGGGCGCCUUGUGCGCACCGGCGGACGGCUCAGUAACACGUCGGUAACCUACCCUCGGGAGGGGGAUAACCCCGGGAAACUGGGGCUAAUCUCCCAUAGGUUUAGGGCACUGGAAGGUCCCUAAACCGAAAGGGGCUCUGCCCGCCCGAGGAUGGGCCGGCGGCCGAUUAGGUAGUUGGUGGGGUAACGGCCCACCAAGCCCAUAAUCGGUACGGGCAGUGAGAGCUGGAGCCCGGAGAUGGACACUGAGACACGGGUCCAGGCCCUACGGGGCGCAGCAGGCGCGAAACCUCCGCAAUGCUCGAAAGAGCGACGGGGGGACCCCAAGUGCCGUGGUACAACCACGGCUUUUCCGGAGUGUAAGAAGCUCCGGGAAUAAGGGCUGGGCAAGGCCGGUGGCAGCCGCCGCGGUAAUACCGGCGGCCCGAGUGGUGGCCACUAUUAUUGGGCCUAAAGCGUCCGUAGCCGGGCUUGUAAGUCCCUGGCGAAAUCCCACGGCUCAACCGUGGGGCUUGCUGGGGAUACUGCAAGCCUUGGGACCGGGAGAGGCCGGGGGUACUCCUGGGGUAGGGGUGAAAUCCUAUAAUCCCAGGAGGACCGCCAGUGGCGAAGGCG
rnacentral:rRNA from 1 species